CAACUUUCAGCAACGGAUCUCUUGGCUCUCGCAUCGAUGAAGAACGCAGCGAAAUGCGAUAAGUAAUGUGAAUUGCAGAAUUCAGUGAAUCAUCGAAUCUUUGAACGCACCUUGCGCCCUUUGGCUAUUCCGAAGGGCAUGCCUGUUUGAGCAUCAUAA
rnacentral:rRNA from 1 species